AGGAGGAAGAAAACAGAAGAAGAUAUCAGGAUGAAAUUCCUCCAGAACCUUGCCAAUCACCUGGCUUGGUCAGACUCCAUUUCUUGAAGCAAGGUUGAGGUCACCAACCUGACCCCACCUUCCUACCCGAGCUGCCCCACGUCACACACAAAGAGCCCUGACAGCUUUUUUGGUCACAGCAUCGAGCUGGGAACCAGAACUCAACAGACUAGAAGCAAAGAAAGGAGAACAAGACCGAGUGGGGAAAAAAAUGAAGAAUUAAAGUUGGUUAAAAACCCACAAAUUAUUAUUUGCUUAUUUUCAUACCUGAGCUCAGAUGAUUCUCUGCACAUCCAGACAAUGUGUUCACAUUUCCUUCCCCUGCCACGUGUUUUCUCUCCACUCAUCCCUCAGCAGACGCACCCCUGCUCAGGAAAGGGUUUCCAGCCCCCAAAACAUGCAGCAGAAAGGGAUUUUCCCCGAAGCCACAUCUGUCCUGCAUCUCCUGCUGACAGCAGCCUUGCACUGCCAAACCCUGGGACUUUUAUAAUUUGUUC
rnacentral:lncRNA from 1 species